AGUCUAAUAAUUUUCAGAAAUAUAGGAAACAACAUUUGAUAAACAUAGAUUGCAAUUUAGUCAAAUAAACUCGUGUUCUUCCAUUUCACAUGUCAAAGGGCUGAGUAAUACCUGGUCACAAUAGCAAAAACCAACAAGAAAAAUGAGUUGGGAGUAUACAGAAACAUCAACAGUAGUAAGCUUAGAAAUGACCAAUGAAACCAGCUUUGAACCCAACUUUAAACCAGCAAAAAUAACCACUGAUACCCAGCAAUCAAAAAACGACCAAAACUUGAACCAAACUUGGAAAACCAACCAAACUCAAAUCAUUUUAACAUUGAUGGUUUAGUGAUUGUUUCAGAAAUUAGAGCCUCAAGAAUUACAGAAAACUUUCAAUGGAACAGUAAUUUUGGUUUUUCCAGCAGUUGUUUUUUUGAUUUUCUGUAUUUUUCAUCUCUUUUUUUUUUGCCUUGAAUGGCAAGCAAAUGAGCCUUUAUAGGCAAGGGAGUAGGGUAGCAAUAGAGAGAUUAAAUUUGCACUUCUACCCUCCUCCAAUUUUCAUUUCAGCUUAAAAACCCUCUAGCCUGAUUUCCUUUUUGCUUAACUGUCCCUAAUGUAGUUACCAGAUUAUCAAAACAGCCCCCACCCAGCUUCUUAGGAAGCUUCCUAUUCUGUUAUACAAAGAUUCCCUCAACCAAUUACCCCAAAUUACCCCUCAGACCUCUGAUAUUUACUUUAGAUCUCCAAAUGGGUCAAAUUGACCCAAGGAUAUAGAUCAAAUUAAACGGGCUACAUUUGCGAGAAAGGUCAACAACAGACCAAAGCCCAAUUCGUACAUUAACAACCGUAAACUCUAUGAGCUUUUGAGAGACAGACCCAUCCAAGUACUGGAACAAUUUUAAAACUAAGACCCUAAACUAAAUUACUACUAUCUGACACAAAAUAGAGGGAAUUAAUUAAACUGCUAGACUAAUUAAGAAAGGACCCUGAACUAAUCAUGCAUGCAUGACAAAACCCAGAAGAGGAGAUGAAGCAGAAACAAAACAAAAAAAAGAAAGAUAAACAACUAAAUAAUACAGACAAAGAAGAUACCUAAUCACCAUCCAGAAGCCGAUUCGACAAACUUUGCAGGGCUUUUCAAAUUUCUGACUGGAAUAGCCCUUAAUCGUGUAUUUUUAUGUGAAAAUACACGAAUAAAGUCUGUUGCAGUCUGAAACCUUCAGCACACCCCAAGAUUCGAGAAUUUCUUGGGCAGAUUCGAAGGAAAUCAGUCAGGGAUUUAGAGAGAGGGGAGUGGGGUGGUUAUAGGGUGUGAUUUUGGGUGGGAUCGGGAUAGGCACUGCCACCAGAGGCCGAGGAUUUGGGGGGCAGCUCAGCUAGGGUUUUCAUUCAAAACCAGAUUCGAGUCGUUCUGGGUUGAUUCAAGGGCAGGGAUUUGUAGAUUCGAAAAGAGGAGAGGGAGGGGGGUGUUUGGUAUAAGUUUGGUGGCGAUUCACGGUGGCGCCGCCGGGGGAAGGCAGUGGAGUUUUGAGGCGGCUCAGCUAGGGUUAGGUCUGGGUGUCCUGGUGGGGUGUUGAGCAGAAGGGUUU
rnacentral:lncRNA from 1 species